UCUCUGCAAUUAAUUGCUCCCGGGGUUUUGCAAUCCGGGGAUCGAGUGGUGGUGCAAAAAUCAAAGAGUGGCUUAGAAAAACCCAAACAGCAACAACAGCCAGCCCCAGCUCGGGGUGCUGUGUUCUGUUCACAGUCCACAGCUGGUGGGGGCUGUGGACAUUCCUGUUCCAUGGCUGCAAUUUGGGAAACAAAUGCUCAGCACCCGUUUCAGCUCCUGAGCUGCUACUGGAGCCUGUAGGAGAUCUGAUGGAGGAGGGAUAAGGUCAAAAGCUGGGUGAAGAAAAUGUCAGAAGAAAAUAUUUUUGAGUCGUCAGAGGUGGCUCUUCAUCUGGAAUUAAACUCCAGGAACUGGACUGGGACCUGCUUUGGUUGUAAAUGAGAGCCUUCAGCAACACCAGGGGAGACAGAACCCACCUGAGAGGCACCCCUAAAAUUCCUCAGCCUUUUUCCAUUGCCUGCAUCUAGAGCCCUGCUGCUGCAAACCUCCAAUGUUCUGUUGAGAGACCUGACAGGUUGGUUCCCCCUCUUUAUCCCAACAGAGUCUUUCUGCCAAGAGCCUACAGACUGCUGGAACAGUAAAGAAAACGCCAGAAAUGUUUUGUUCCUCCAUCCACAGCAGGGAGAAGAAGGAAAGGAGAACCAAGUUUUGCAGCAGGAGUGCUCCUUUUGGGAUGCAAUGAUGGAUGUUCAUACCACUAACAAGCGUCACUUGUUUAAUCCCCUCAGAACCUAUUCCCAC
rnacentral:lncRNA from 1 species